GAUGAACGCUAGCGGCAGGCUUAAUACAUGCAAGUCGAGGGACAGCACAGGUAGCAAUACUGGGUGGUAACCGGCAAACGGGUGCGGAGCACGUACACAACCUUCCUUUAAGUGGGGGAUAGCCCAGAGAAAUUUGGAUUAAUACCCCGUAAUAUAGUUGAAUGGCAUCAUUUGAUUAUUAUAGCUACGGCGCUUAAUGAUGGGUGUGCGGCUGAUUAGAUAGUUGGCGGGGUAACGGCCCACCAAGUCUACGAUCAGUAGCUGAUGUGAGAGCAUGAUCAGCCACACGGGCACUGAGACACGGGCCCGACUCCUACGGGAGGCAGCAGUAAGGAAUAUUGGUCAAUGGACGCAAGUCUGAACCAGCCAUGCCGCGUGAAGGAUUAAGGUCCUCUGGAUUGUAAACUUCCUUUAUUUGGGACGAAAAAGGGCCUUUCUAGGUCAACUGACGGUACCAGAUGAAUAAGCACCGGCUAACUCCGUGCCAGCCGCCGCCGUAAGAC
rnacentral:rRNA from 1 species